UUGGGGAAUAUCAGAUGAAGUAGCUGGAAAUCUCAAACAAUGAACUUCUGCCUCCUAUGUAAAAGACUACAUGUGCCCUUUUAAGAGGCAGAGUUACCAGGACCAGAGCAAACCUGGCACAUACAGGUCUGGGAAUUGCAGUCUGAGAAGUCAGGGACAUAAUCCAUUCCUGACCCUCGUCUGGGUCAACAAACCACUGUUCUGCUUGGAUUGCCUCAGGAAUUAGAUCUUCUGUGAGAACCUGGAGUGCAGGAGCAGGCCAUUAUAUUUUUCCUUCCAAACUAGAGCCCUGUCUUACCCAGCAGCUUUUUAUUUGGUCGGGAAGAAGGAUGCCUGUGAUCCGAUGUCUCUGAUCCAGUGCCUGCUCUGUGUUAAUGCAUUUUGUGUUGAGAUUCACUGAGAUGGAGGCAGAGAGCAAAAGGAGCUCUCUUAG